CCCUUAGAUGUUCUGGGCCGCACGCGCGCUACAAUGGCAAACUCAGCGAGUCUCCUUUACCGACAGGUAUAGGAAAUCUUUUCAGUGUUUGCCGUGAUGGGGCUAGACCCUUGUAAUUAUUGGUCUCCAACGAGGAAUUCCUAGUAAACGCAGGUCAUUAACCUGCAUUGAUUACGUCCCUGCCCUUUGUACACACCGCCCGUCGCUGCCCGGAACUGAGCCGUUUCGAGAAGACUGAGGAUUGCUGACUUGAGGCCUUCACGGGCUUCUAGUCGGUGAAAAUCAAUUUAAUCGCAGCGGCUUGAACCGGGCAAAAGUCGUAACA
rnacentral:rRNA from 1 species